UUCCAUGGAGCUUGAGCUUUGUGUUGACCAAAUUAGAGCUUAUCUACAAUGCUAUUAGUGUAGAAUAGGUAGAGACACCACCUUGCACCAUCAAUUAGGUGAUAUAGCUUGAUUUUAAUGGAGAUUAAUUGUAAUUUCAUGUAUGGAGAGAAAAGGCAUUCUAGAUCUAGGGUUUCUUUUUUUGUUUUUGUUUCAUAAAAUUGGAAUGUGGUUGGCAUGAAUAGUUAUUGGUAAACUAAUAGUUGUUGCUAAUAUUAAUUGUUUCUAAUAAUGGUAGAUAAUAAUUGGUAAUAUUAAUUAUGUCUAAUAAUCGUUUCUAACACAAUUAUUACUAAUAAUGAUAGCUAAUAAUUGUUGAUAAUAAUGGUAGAUAAUAACUUUUACUUAUUAAUUGUUGCUAAUAAUGGUAGAUAAUAAUUGGUACUAUUAAUUAUGACUAAUAAUCGUUUCUAACACAAUUAUUGCUAAUAAUGAUAGCUAAUUGUUGCUAAUAAUGGUAGAUAAUAAUUGUUACUUAUUAAAUUGUUGCUAAUAAUUAUUCUCAACUAAUUAUUUUUUAUUUAUAUAAAGAUGGAGAAUAGGGCUACUUGGAUGUAUGGUUUGCCAAGAUACUCGCAAGCCUAUGCUGAUGAGGUGGACAAAUUUAUUACAGUCGCGG
rnacentral:lncRNA from 1 species